rnacentral:tRNA from 1 species
UCUUCCGUGGCGCAAUUGGCUAGCGCGUUCGACUGUUAAUCGAGAGGUUCCUAGUUCAAGCCUAGGCGGGAGAG